UGGCACUUCACCCACCAAGAGAUAUAGAGUGACAGAGUGAUUUCAGAGAGAUUUAAACUAAAAUGUUCAGUCGAAUUAUAGACUAAAAUAAGGGCUUCAGCAAGGUCAGCAAAACAAUCAGAGAACUUUGAAGACCAAUAUGAUAUGAGGUUCUACAUCAUAUUCAGACAAAAAAUCGCAUCAUUUUGCUUUGCUCUCUUGCCAGAACCAGCUUAUUCCUAGAAACCAUGAAUGAAUAAAUCACAUAGGUAGCUUUAUAGAGGCCCAUGGAGAUACACGAACAUCAUAUAUGAAAUGUAAGAAUCGCCAUACACGAAUUUGCUUUGCUGAUUCAGUUAAUUAAGUACACAAGAUAUUAUAAAGAUUCGCUAGAUGAAUUAAGUACGAAGGGCUUGAGGCAGGUCAGCAGAGCAAUCAGAGAACUUUGAAGACCAAUCUGAUAAGGAUUCUACAUGAUGUUCAGACAUGAUAAACUCAUCAUUUUGCUAUGCUUUCCAGCCAGAACAUCUUAUCCUCAGAAACCAUGA